UUAUGUGUCAUUUGGAACAAGGAC
rnacentral:siRNA from 1 species